rnacentral:rRNA from 1 species
AAAUGAAUAGACGGGGACCCACACAAGCGGUGGAGCAUCUGGUUUAAUUCGAUACAAAGCGGGGAACCUUACCUAGUCUUGACAUCCCAAUGAACUCUUUAGAAAUAGAGAGGUGCCGCAAGGAUCAUUGGUGACAGGUGUUGCAUGGUUGUCGUCAGCUCGUGCCUUGAGGUGUUCGGUUAAGUCCGUCAACGAGCGCAACCCUAAUCAUGUGUUGUAUUUUUCACAUGAGACUGCCAGCUAAAAGUUGGAGGAAGGUUAGGAUGACGUCAAAUCAGCAUGACCCUUAUGACUAGGGCUACACAGGUGCUACAAUGGCCAGUACAACGGGCAGCUAAGUCGCAAGAUGGAGCCAAUCCCUUAAAACUGGUCUUAGUUCGGAUUGAGGGCUGCAACUCGCCCCCAUGAAGUCGGAAUCGCUAGUAAACGCAUAUCAGCAAUGGUGCGUUGAAUUAGUUCCUGGGUCUUGUACACACCGCCCGU